rnacentral:lncRNA from 1 species
GGCAUUUUCCUUUGAUACGUCUUUGACGCAGACAGUGGGAACCAUUCCUCUCUGGAAAAAAAUACGGCAGCCCUAACAUUGCACUGUGCUGCUGCUUGUUUUGCCAACUUUAUUACACAUUACACUGAGAAAACUUUUCAAACCAAAUGCAACAGGUUUAUGCAGCUAUCAUCUGAGCUUCUCACGGAACAAUUUCAAGCUAGGCAAGAGAUAUGAGAGAUUUGGAGAACAAGGAGUUCAGAAAAUAAAGUUUAACCAUGCAGAAAUGGAUUAAUUCAUCACUGUUACUGAGCAGUGCAUAAGCUGGUGUGCUGUUACUAUAAAAGAGACUACAUUCACUGUUUAGUUUGUAAAGGAUGACAAGAGGAGUGUUCCUACACUAUCUCCGGUCCAGUCUUCACAACAGUGAGCAGUGACUAUUUCUAAUCAGCGUAAGUGCCGGAAAGUGACAUAAAACUCAGGCAGUAAGCAGCAAGUGCCAUGCACCUCGAGCACAAUUAUCAGCCCGGUCUAAGGAUACCACUAACAGACGGCAAAGGAUUUCACCGGACAAAACGCCAAAAUUUGCCUGCCUUUCGACCUGGCCUCACAAAUCCCGAGGUGUGCAGCUGCGUUUCCCUGUCGGAGGAGAAGCAAGGUACAUUCAGCCUGCUCUCAGCCGAUGCAAGAGAUACAUUUUACAGGGAAUCAAGUGUAUUAAGCAAUUUCUAUCAUGACUUGCCUCUGAUUGGGCUGUCACGCAUGAAAGGCAGAUAUUUAUACUGUGACUGGUCAGGUAAGCCAUUUCCACCACACGGGGUCUUUUAAAAGUAUUUGGUACCGUAAAUGUUCAGAGUAACAUUAUCUUCUCCUACUUUUUAUUCAGUCCUCAGGUACUUCCUGCUGACCACUUAAAUAUGACAUAAAGGUGUAUAGCCUGUUAGGCAAAACACAAAAACUGUCUUGUACCUGGAAAGAUUACUUGAUAGAAAGCUCUAAGAGAAGAUGAAGAUAACCUUUCUAAUUUCCUGGAAUAGGGAAAGUGGAAGACAUUUGCUAUGAUUUCCAGGUUAGUCCAGACAAUUCAAUGCAACAGGACAUGGUGAAUGUUGGCAGUUUACCUGCAGUUUAGUAUUCUCAGGAAGAAUACAGUGAAGGGAAUUAAAAACAUAGGCAACACCUUUGACUAGAAGUCUCUUUGAGCCAUUUAGCACCAGAUGUUGGGAGAAGUUUUCAGCACUAUAUGCUUGUCUACAAUUAGACUUCUUUUGUAGCAAACAGCUCUUUGUCCAGUUUGGCUGCUUUACAUGGUUUUGGAACCUUUUCUGCAGCUCAUACUGGAAUAAAUGAUACUAUUUAAUUGUAAUGGUCCUAUUG